GACGAACGCUGGCGGCGUGCCUAAUACAUGCAAGUCGAACGAGAGCAACCGGUGCUUGCACUGGUCAAUCUAGUGGCGAACGGGUGAGUAACACGUGGGUAACCUGCCCAUCAGAGGGGGAUAACAUCCGGAAACGGAUGCUAAAACCGCAUAGGUCUUCGACCCGCUGGGUUUGAAGAGGAAAAAAGCCGCAACCUUCUGCUGUUGGUUGACCCCGCGGUGCAUUAGCUAGUUGGUGAGGUAACGGCUCACCAAGGCCGUGAUGCAUAGCCGACCUGAGAGGGUGAUCGGCCACAUUGGGACUGAGACACGGCCCAAACUCCUACGGGAGGCAGCAGUAGGGAAUCUUCCGCAAUGGACGCAAGUCUGACGGAGCAACGCCGCGUGAGUGAAGAAGGUUUUCGGAUCGUAAAACUCUGUUGUUAGAGAAGAACAAGUGCUAGAGUAACUGUUAGCGCCUUGACGGUAUCUAACCAGAAAGCCACGGCUAACUACGUG
rnacentral:rRNA from 1 species